CAGGGAAUAGUUUAUAAAAAUAUUAAUUUUGGAAAUUAAUGAAAAAGUAAUUACUUUUUCUCUGA
rnacentral:tRNA from 1 species